AUAAGCGCAAGAAGAUGGACUGCAAAGGUACACUAUUCUACCUGGAAUACCAUCAAGGUGGAAAGUGACGAGAUAGAACGUUUUAAACGUAUGUAGUUGAAUUUUGACCUAACUUACCCCUCUUACCUUUUCGUUAAAUAGAUAUUAUUCAUAAUUAUACAUUGCGGUGGUGAUAAAAGACGCAUAUCAGAAUGAGAAACACCGUAUUUACUGUUGUACUGGUCGUCGUGUGUUUUCAUACUUUAUAUGGUUCUGAUGCACAACUCUCGGAGUUAAACCAAGACGCGUCUAAUCGCCAUAGGCGUUCUCAACCUACGUACCAUUUAAUUGACACAUGCAUGAGACGCGAACUUGACAAUACCAUCCGAGGGGGCGUAGAAGUUCCCUGGACUUACAGAGCAACAUACUUUUUAGUUCAAACACUAUAUGCCAAUUGUAAUGUUAUGUCGUUACAACCCGAAGGACUAAUUGCAUGUACUAAUCGGACUGUAAACUUCGAGGUUGAACGAUUUGGAAGAAUCGUGGCGGAUUGCAUGGCGGUAUUUUAAAUAAACAGAUUCCGUUACAAUUUAAACAGGAGCACCGGCAAGAAAACGAACAAGUUUCUAUUUAUUACGUACCCAGAAAUUACCUGUAUGUACCCUGUUAUGUGCAUUGUAAUGUGUACCAUUAUAUACAUGCUAAUAAAAU